UUACUAUUACUAUAUGUAUAUUUAAAAUAAUAACUUUAAUCUUAUAUAUAUAGUAUGAUUUUUCUACUAAAGAUGUCCCAAUUGGUAGCAGAUCCUUGUAUCUCACAAGAAGUGGCGUAGCCACGAUUAGUUUAGCGGUUCAAUUGAAUUUCUUUUUUGAAAACUACUACUGCACAAACACUGUAGCUGUCGGAGUAGAAUUUUCACCAAGAUAUUAUUAUGUAUACGUAAAGAAAAUAAGUGAAUUUUUGUGAAUGAGAUUUUGGAUGAUCCCCUGCCGCUCUAUAUAUAUGCGUAUGUGGAGCCACAUACGGCUAAGGGGGAUGAACCCCCUUCGGUAGAGAUUUAUACUGUUUAUCCAUAAUUAAAAUUAUUAUUAUUAUUAUGUAUAAAUAGUAAAUGUUGAAAUUCUAACUUUUUCGUGUGUUUAUUUUUUUAAUUUUGAACCACUUAUAUAUAUAUAUAUGUGUGUGUGAGAGAGAGAAUCUCGGUAUGAUAGAGGUUUUCAGGGUAAUGUCAAAGGUAUUUGAAAAUUAUUUCCUAUAUUUCAUUUGUUGUGUCAUAGUUAGACUAGACAAAGAGUUAGAAAAUGAAGAGUUAAUGAAGGUAGGAAGUAUCAUUCUUUUUAAAUAUAUUAAAAAAGGAGGUAAGACACAUAAUUUUUU